rnacentral:rRNA from 1 species
UGCCAGACUCCUACGGGAGGCAGCAGUCGGGAAUAUUGCACAAUGGAGGAAACUCUGAUGCAGUGACACCGCGUAUAGGAAGAAGGUUUUCGGAUUGUAAACUAUUUUAGACAGGGAAGAAAAAAGACAGUACCCGUAGAAUAAGCUCCGGCUAACUACGUGCCAGCAGCCGCGGGAAUACGUAGGGAGCAAGCGUUGUCCGGAAUUACUGGGCGUAAAGGGCGCGUAGGUGGGCGCUUAAGUCAGGUGUGAAAACUCCGGGCUCAACCUGGAGACUGCACUUGAAACUGGGUGUCUUGAGGGCAGGAGAGGAAAGUGGAAUUCCUAGUGUAGCGGUGAAAUGCGUAGAUAUUAGGAGGAACACCAGUGGCGAAGGCGACUUUCUGGACUGUACCUGACGCUGAGGCGCGAAAGCGUGGGUAGCGAACGGGAUUAGAUACCCGGGUA